CUGGGAAUGCACCUCUCAACCAUCAAGUAUUCUAUCCGAUAUAGUGUAACGGCUAUCACACCUCGCUUUCAC
rnacentral:tRNA from 1 species